rnacentral:lncRNA from 1 species
UAUCAUAGCUGAUCCAAGGUAAAAAUAAAAUUUCCUUGGGCACAUGUCUAUUGAUGAAUUAACAACAGGAGUGAGCUUGGAAUAAUAUAGCUUCCAGAGCUUGAGCCAUAGGCAAGCAAAUCUACUGGCAAGGGCUAAGCUUUAUAUUAAUAGAAAAAAGAUGGUUUAUCUAUUAGGAUUCGGCAAGAAAGCAAAUGUGUUAGAUUGAAAUGUACUAGAUCAAAUCGAACCAAAAAAUUAGUUAUGUUUGAAGAGAUAGUUUUGCAUC